AUGUCUAGCUCAACUUCGGCCUCCCGUCAAACAUGGCUGCACUACGGUCCAGUGCCGUUGACAAGAUGCCCCGAUUGCCCGCGCAUGGAGCCUCUGAAGUGUUUGACUUGUGUGAAGGAGGAAAAUGGCAACCGUGGGUGCGAGUUCGUCAAAUGCUUGAGCAAGCCACAACCGGGGCAGGUUCUGAAGAAAUGUGGACAUUUCGAGUGGCUCGAUGAGUACGUUGAGAGGUUGAAAUUCGAGGCUUCAACCCAAGAGCUCAAUUUCAAUUUUGGGGGGCAGCUUGUGUGGAACACGCCUCACAUUUGGUGGACAGAGCCAAUCCGAUGA
rnacentral:rRNA from 1 species